CCUACGGGUGGCAGCAGUGGGGAAUAUUGCACAAUGGGGGAAACCCUGAUGCAGCGACGCCGCGUGAGUGAGGAAGUAUUUCGGUAUGUAAAGCUCUAUCAGCAGGGAAGAAAAUGACGGUACCUGACUAAGAAGCCCCGGCUAACUACGUGCCAGCAGCCGCGGUAAUACGUAGGGGGCAAGCGUUAUCCGGAUUUACUGGGUGUAAAGGGAGCGUAGACGGUUAAUCAAGUCAGAAGUGAAAACCCAGGGCUCAACCUUGGGACUGCCUUUGAAACUGGCAAACUGGAGUGUGUGAGAGGAUAGUGGAAUUCCAGGUGUAGGAGUGAAAUGCGUAGAUAUCUGGAGGAACAUCAGUGGCGAAGGCGACUAUCUGGCACAUAACUGACGCUGAGGAGCGAAAGCGUGGGUAGCAAACAGGAUUAGAUACCCCUGUAGUC
rnacentral:rRNA from 1 species